GAUUUCUGGUUUGAUGUACCUGUCCCGCUUGGGUAACCAGGUCUGUGUGACGGAGUAUGUCUGCCAUCCUUCUAGAGAAUACUUGCUAUCCUUUACUGGACUGGCGAGUAUCAUCUAGAUCUUUUACUUUGAAAAAAUUAGAGUGUUUCAAGCAGGCGUUUUGCUAUGAAUACAUUAGCAUGGAAUAAUGAGUUAGGACUUCGGUUCUAUUUUGUUGGUUUCUAGGACUGAAGUAAUGAUUGAUAGGGAUAGUUGGGGGUGCUAGUAUUCAGCGGCCAGAGGUGAAAUUCUUGGAUUCGCUGAAGACUAACUUAUGCGAAAGCAUU
rnacentral:rRNA from 2 species